UACGUAGGGUCCAAGCGUUAUCCGGAAUCACUGGGCGUAAAGCGUCCGUAGGUGGGCUGUUAAGUGAGAUGUGAAAGCGUGUGGCUCAACCAUAUCGUUGUGUUUCAUACUGGCAGACUAGAGGGAAGCAGAGGCAAGUGGAAUUGGCAGUGUAGCAGUGAAAUGCGUAGAGAUUGCCAGGAACACCAAUGGCGAAGGCAGCUUGCUGGGCUUUUUCUGACACUGAGGGACGAAAGCGUGGGGAGCGAACAGG
rnacentral:rRNA from 1 species